UACGUAGGGUGCGAGCGUUAAUCGGAAUUACUGGGCGUAAAGCGUGCGCAGGCGGUUCGUUGUGUCGGUGGUGAAAGCCCCGGGCUUAACCUGGGAAUGGCCGUCGAAACUGGCGAACUGGAGUGUGGCAGAGGGGGGUGGAAUUCCGCGUGUAGCAGUGAAAUGCGUAGAGAUGCGGAGGAACACCGAUGGCGAAGGCAGCCCCCUGGGCUGACACUGACGCUCAGGCACGAAAGCGUGGGGAUCAAACAGG
rnacentral:rRNA from 1 species